CUCUUUUAUCCAAUUCAAUUUUAUUGAACCUGUUGAUCCUAUUCAUAUUUUUAUUUUGGUUGAGAUUGACCUCGUAAAAUAUGGAGUACGACUUUUUUUAUCUAUUGUGUAACCGAAGUUUAUUCACUGGUUUCUUUUUCAUGCAACCGAUUGUGUUAUGUGGAGACAAAAAAUUAUAAGACUAGGUUUGAUUUUCAAACUAAAAAAUUGUGAACAGGUACUUGGGGAGUUUGCAAUUCACUCCAUAUGAAAGCAGCACAAACAAGGGGGAGAUUGUAUUGAGGGGAGUGAUUUGAAAGUCUUGAAAUAAGAUUCUAAGAGAUUAUGAUAAAUUUUUAAAUGAGACAAACUGGCUAAUCUAAUUGGGCCAAGUGGGGGCAAACUGGGCCUUGGCCCACAUCCUGAAGUCUUACUCUGAACCUUGGAAUUUGUGGGCCGACCUCAGUCCUUUUCAGGUCUUAAGCAUGGCGUAACAGAAAGGCUUUCAAUAAAUAGCAAACACUUGUUGUGAUAUGGUGCUUAAAUUUCUCAACCUGCCUUGCUUGCAGGGCUGCUGCCUGCUACCAUUAGGCACUAUUUUCAAACAAUGUACAUAUUAUUGUACAUCAAAAAUCUAUAUUCUUUAUAGCUAUCAUACAGUGUACUACUUACUACUAAAACUUAACCAUGGCUGAAAAAAAAAA